AUGGCUCUGCCGGCUCGCCGUCGUGGCGCAGUAGCGGUGGCGCUGGUGGCGUUGAUGGCGGCAGUUGGUCUGGCGGGCGCGGACUUCGCGUCGGACAGCAAGAUGUGCGCGGAGAAGCUGGCUGUACUGGCGACGUGCUUGCCCGUCGUGGACGCGACGGCGACGGCGCAUGCGCCGACGCCGGACUGCUGCUCCGGGCUCCGGGAAGUUCUGGGUGACAGCAAGAAGUGCCUGUGCGUGCUGAUCAAGGACCGCGACGACCCGGCCAUCGGGAUCAAGGUCAACGUCACCCGCGCCAUGGACCUCCCCUCCGCCUGCUCCGUCCCCGCCGUCCUCUCCGACUGCCCCAAGCUUCUUCACAUCUCGCCGGACUCCAAGGAGGCGGAGAUCUUCAAGCAGUACGCGAUUCACGAGGGCAAGAACGCCACCGCCGGGACCGCCGGCGGCAAGCACACCGAUGCGGUGUCCGGUGAAGGGAGGCACACGGCGGUUGUCUUCGCCGUCGUCGUGUCGGGGCUGCUCACCUCCAUCUUUGUUCUCGCCUGA
rnacentral:rRNA from 1 species